AUGAUACGCGAGGAACCUUACCUGGGCUCAAAUGAUGUUGACGUAUCUGAAAGGGAUACUUCUUCGGACAAUAUACAAGGUGCUGCAUGGUUGUCGUCAGCUCGUGCCGUGAGGUGUCGGGUUAAGUCCCGUAACGAGCGCAACCCUUGUCCUUAGUUACCAGCACGUUAUGGUGGGCACUCUAAGGAGACUGCCGGUGACAAACCGGAGGAAGGUGGGGAUGACGUCAAGUCAUCAUGGCCCUUACGGCCUGGGCUACACACGUGCUACAAUGGUCGGUACAAAGGGUUGCCAAGCCGCGAGGUGGAGCUAAUCCCAUAAAACCGAUCGUAGUCCGGAUCGCAGUCUGCAACUCGACUGCGUGAAGUCGGAAUCGCUAGUAAUCGUGAAUCAGAAUGUCACGGUGAAUACGUUCCCGGGCCUU
rnacentral:rRNA from 1 species